ACUGGGCAAUGCGAGCUGCCUGCGCAAUGCCUCCUGGGAGGAGUAGUUCCGGAAUGUCCGACCCCUGUCUAACUGGUAGGUGGUGGAACCACAACUCCCAGCACCACCCAAAUGCUGCCUGGGAGGAGAAGCAAUUGUCACUGUUGUGGCCGAAGUCUAGGCCUGAGCCUGGAAAAAUGCUGCGGGCGUCCCAGGAAAGGUCCUCAAAGGAGAGGAUGGAGCUGAGUCGCUGGAAACGGAUCUCGAGGAAGCUGAAUCCCAAGUCUGCAUUUGACUCUGACAAUGUGGGGCACUGGAUUAAGAGAGUGGAGAAAGCUUCAGAAUUUGCCAUUUCAAAUACAUAUUCUACCAGAAACGCAGAUUUACCUGGAAGGCUGUGGCGACAUGCAGUAGACCUGGGGACAUGCGGGCAAACAGAGUAUCAUGAUGAUGUCUACGAAGAAGCUCAGGAGCUAGUCAAUGACUGGCUAGACAACAAACUUCAACAAGAAUUAGCAAGUGAUGGAGAAGGGGAAGGUGCUGUGCCAAGCAGCCCUCCUGGGCCAGAUGCCCAUGGCCAUUUGAAGUAUGACAAGUUUGAUGAUUUAUGUGGCUAUUUGGAGGAAGAAGAGGAGAAUGCCACCGCUCAGAAAUUUAUAGAGCAUCUGCUCCAUAAAGAGGUGGUGGAUGCUGCGAUGGUGGAAGAGCUUGGAAGGAAGGAAAACCAAGGCAAGAGGCAGCAGAAGGACCCUCGUCUUACCAUGGAGAUGAGACAUAAGCAGGUAAAAGAAAAUCGCUUAAGACGUGAGCAACAAGUAGAGUUCCAGAGAAAGGAGAAUGCCCUGAAGAAAGCAGCCUUCUUGGAGGCUCAGUGUCUAGUGCAAGAGGAGAAGAGAAGAAAGGCUCUGCUGGCCAAGAAAGAGAAGGAAGGGAUUCAGAGAGAGAUGGUCAAGCUGCGGAGGGAGAUCCUGGAGAGAAGGCGUACCGUGGAAGAAGCAUGGAAAACGGAGAAAAAAAGGCAAGAAGAUUCCCAGAGGAAUCCAGAAGAAAAAAUGAUGGAAAGUGCUCACAUUCAUCUGAGUGAGGAAAAAGUUGCAAAAGAAAGAAAAAGAAAACUGAGAGAGAUACUAAUCCAGACUUUCAAGGAAAAUCACCAGUGUCAAAAACGGUAUUUCUCUGCCUGGCACAAGCUGAUUCUGGAUCAUAGGAUUAAGCUGGGGAAAGCUGGGACCCUGUCUGACUGGAAGCUUCAACUGAAGGUCCUGCGAGCCUGGAGAGACUAUACACGGUCCCAGAAGAUGGAGCGGGAGACCCAAGCCUUGGAAAAUGACCUUAGGGAAGAGAACAGAAAACAACAACUGGCUACUGAGUAUAACCGGAAACAAGUUCUUCGUUACUGCUUUUCCGAAUGGCAGCGUUGGCAUGGUUCAGAAGUUAUUAAGAGAGAGCUGGCUCUAGCCAAGGAACAAACCAGGAAGAAAAUGGAUGAGCUGCUGAAGGCAGCCUCCCUCGGGAAACUCAGUUCAAAUGGGUCAUCAGGAAUCCGUCUUCUUGCCGAGACGACAGCCACAGUGGACCCGCCAGUAGAAAGUGGAAAGGUCACCAUCGUCCCCACUGCGUGGGAAAAGCCACCCAUGGGGAGCAGUGGUUGCAUGCUCAGCCAUUCCCCAGAAAGAACAACCAAGGGCAGUUUUCAGGGUCCCCUCCCAGAUGUCUCUGGGAGCACACCUGAGACAAAGCAGCCCAAGACUCCAGAUGCUGAGACCUCUGAACAGCCUGGUAGCCAUGAAAAGCCUGGGACCACUAGCCAGGGAGCAGAGCCUGUCUGUGUGAGGCAUUUCCACCGUCGCCAUGUCUACCAGCAACAGCUGAUUGAGAGGCAAAAGAAGAAACUCGAGGAACAGCAGAAAACCAUUCAAAAGCUGAAGGAAAACCAGCAGUUGGCGGAGGCCCGGUGGGCAGCUGAGCGCGCAGCAGCGGUCACAGAAGCACAGAGUCACCUCCUGUCCAAUCCCAGGGGAGCAGAGGAACCACGGGGAAGCUGCCAGAGGCCUCUGCAUUCAUCUGUUCUCUCCUCAAGGUGUGAAGAUAGUAGAACCGAGUCCAGAAAUUCUCUUUCUGCAUCCAAAAGGAACCCGACAGCACCCCAUCCCUUAUUGAAAGCCAUGGAAGAGAGAGCAAUUCAACGAGUUGAACGUAGGCGGAUCUUGGCAGAAAGGAAGAAAAAACAAGAAGAAGACAAAUUGGCUCAGCUAAAAGCCCAAGAGGAAGAACGCCAGAAAAGGGAUGCUGAAGAAAAGGAAGCUCAGCUUGAGAGAAAACGAGAGGAAAAGAGGCUGAAGAAGAUGAAAGAACUAGAGAAACAGAAGAGAAUUAAGAGAAAUCAAGAGUUGGAAGCAGUAGCUAAAGAUCAUUAUGAAAAGGUCUUGCUAAAGAAAAGAGGCCUGGAGCCCUGGAAGAGACUGAGAAUGCAAAGCAAGCAAAGCAUUGAGGUAGCAGAAGAACAUUACUCUUUGGCACUACAAAGAAAAUGCCUGCUCAGUUGGUUCCAGUACAGCCAGGAAACUCUGGCUACAAGGACAGCCCAGGCCGAUGAGUUGUAUUCCCAGCUGUUGUGUAGAAGAGUCCUCCGAAGCUGGCUCCGGUAUGUCAAUGAUCUGGAGAAAGAAGUAAGAAAACUCUGUGUCCACGUACUGCAGAAGAAGGUUUUCAGGGCAUGGUUUAGCACGGUCAGGGAUCUGAAGAUCGAAUCCCAGGGAAAACUUGAGACUGCAGCGGAACAUUGUGACAGGUAAGGCUUGGGAACACUGUGACAGGUAAGGCUUGGGAACACUGUGACAGGUAAGGCUUGGGAACACUGUGACAGGUAAGGCUUGGGAACACUGUGACAGGUAAGGCUUGGGAACACUGUGACAGGUAAGGCUUGGGAACACUGUGACAGGUAAGGCUUGGCACUCUCAAGCUCACUGACUCCCCAGCUUCCGUAACAUCCUCACUGCUGCUCUGUGGAAACAUGAGGUGCAGCCAGGAGAGCUGGGCUCUCCCGAUUCACACGGGUGAGAGCGCACGGGAAAGCAACUUUCAAAUGAGGAGGAGGCCUGUGCUGCCAGGGACCAAAUGUGAACAAAAGGACACAUAAGCAGAUGUGUUCCUUAUUAGUCACACAGUUUUAGUUUCUUAAUGUGUGUGAGAGGGAGAGCCCGUGCAAAUGCAUGUGUACCACAUGCAUGCCUGGUGUCCACAUAGGAUCCCCUGGACCUGGAGUUAGAAGUGGUUGUGAGCCACCAUGUGGGCACUAGAAACCGAACGCAGGUCCUCUGCAAGAGCAACAAGCACCCUUAACACAGACCUUCAUUUUUAAGUUUGCCUUUUUCAAUAUUGUGAAACAUAGCACAAAAUUUUAAAGUGUGUAAACCAUACAAAGACUGAAAUUACUGGACACCCAUGUCAGCACAACUGAGGUCAAGGCGGAAAAUCUUUGUCGCACAGGCCGCUUCCUAUUCACAAGUCCCUCCUACCGCUAAAUGAACCCACUGACUUGUACAGUGAACACUUCCCUGCUCCCCUCCUAAGCAUGGCGCCUUCAACACCUGUGUAGCUUUUCCUUCUUUUGAAUUCUGUGCAUAGAUGCUGUAUUAUUAGCUAAUGUUUAAAAUACAGUUAGGUCUUAUUGAAAAAUAAUGUAAUCCACACAAAUACAAACGAGUAUAUAUAUAUAUGUUUUCUCACUAGAACGUCCCGAAGCAUUUGUACAGAAAUGUUCUGAGAGUAGACAGGAAGCUCUCUUUGAUGGUCAAGUGUCACUCCUGAGAAGCACAGUUCAUGUAGUGGACACUUAGAGCGACCCCUCUGAGACAUGGAGGCUUGUGAGGUGUGGAGUCGUUCCCUCCUCCCUGCCUCACACUCAUUUUGGGAUGCUGUAUUUUCACUGUGUAUGCACAUCUCUUUCACAUUUUGUUACACCAGGACACCCACUCCUAGCAAAACCUGUUUGUUCUGAAUGCAUAGUUACUGGAAUCAGUGGGCUGGGAGUAGACUAACAAGUGUAUUAUAAUUUGGUCUAAAUAAAUAUGACUAUGCAGUAAGUGACAGUAUUCAGGGGACUUAUCUUUGAAUAAGUGUAUCCGCUUCAGAGGAAGGCUAGGAUUCAGGGUCAUGUGACUGAACUUUUGAAUCUUCUGUUACAGGGUCAGCAAGAUGGCCUAGUGAGUAAUGGUGCCUGCCACGGAGACUGAUGAUCUCACGUGGCACGUGCAUACCACGUACACACAUACACACAAUGCACGAUAAACAAACAAAUGUAAUAAAAGAUAAGGCCUGUAGAAUUUAAAACAUCUUGAAAAUGAGUAAGAACCGAAUUUCCCUCUGGGCUGUUGUGAAGCCUGAACAAGGAAAUAGUAAUGGACUAAUGCGCUGCUCAGCCCGGUCACAGCUGCUGGGUGUGCUGAGUUUCAUGCCACUGAGAAUGUGCAUCCAGCCUCUUUUGAUCUGCCUCAGUUGUCCAUCUUCCUCAGCCCGAGGGUUCAUUUGGGGUUUUAGCACAGGCUAUGUCUUAUGAUGACUGUAAUGACCCUGGGGGAGUGAUAUCAUGAUUUCAUUUUCUAACAGGGGAACAGCCCGCACCCCCGUGUACAAAUAGCACACAGCAGGCGGCUCACUGGACUCUGCACAGGGUUUUCUUGCUCAAAUCAUCCCGCUCUUGACAUCUCCCUUCCCACUUUCCUUCCUCGCUGUCAUUAUAACAGCAGGACAGCGCUCCCUUUCAGGCUCUGAAGUCAGUAUAGGAAAAUUGUGCAGUCCACAAGAAAUGAAGUCCCCCUCUUGGUGCAGAAGCACUGGUAUGACUGUGUCUCUUUCCCACUCUGUUCCUUGUUCCUGCCCCACUGGCCUCCUAUUCUGCCCCUCAGAGGCAGCAAGUCCACCUCAGCUUAAGGGCAAACACAGUCUUAUCUUUCACAUCGUUCAGCUCUGCUCAGACGUCCCCCACUGACCAGCAGCCCGCCUCAGUGUGUCUGUCCAUUUCUUUGCUCUGUUUAUUGCCCUAGAGCAAGCGGAGACUUCAGGAGGUAGACUAAGAGGAGCCGAUGUGGAAGAGUUAGAAAGCCUGGAGUAUAGUUAGGGGAGAGGAUCUGUAUUAC